rnacentral:rRNA from 1 species
AUUGAACGCUGGCGGCAGGCUUAACACAUGCAAGUCGAGCGAGCGGCGGACGGGUGAGUAAUGUCUGGGAAACUGCCUGAUGGAGGGGGAUAACUACUGGAAACGGUAGCUAAUACCGCAUACCAUCAGAUGUGCCCAGAUGGGAUUGGCUAGUUGGUGGGGUAAUGGCUACCCUAGGCGACGAUCCGUAGCUGGUCGGCGAGGAUGACCAGCCACACUGGAACUGAGACGCGGUCCAGACUCCUGCGGGAGGCAGCAGUGGGGAAUAUUGCACAAUGGGCGCAAGCCUGAUGCAGCCCUGCCGCGUGUAUGAAGAAGGCCUUCGGGUUGUAAAGUACUUUCAUCGAGGAGGCGUUACUCGCAGAAGAAGCACCGGCUAACUCCGUGCCAGCAGCCGCGGUAAUAC